rnacentral:rRNA from 1 species
UGAGCAACCUGCCCUUGACAUUGGAAUAACAGUUGGAAACAGCUGCUAAUACCGGGUAUGACCUGUCACCGCAUGGUGGUGGGUGGAAAGCCUUGGCGGUCAGGGAUGGGCUCGCGGCCUAUCAGCUAGUUGGUGAGGUAAUGGCUCACCAAGGCUUCGACGGGUAGCCGGCCUGAGAGGGCGACCGGCCACACUGGGACUGAGAUACGGCCCAG